AUUGAACGCUGGCGGCAUGCCUUACACAUGCAAGUCGAACGGUAACAGGUCUUCGGAUGCUGACGAGUGGCGAACGGGUGAGUAAUACAUCGGAACGUGCCUAGUAGUGGGGGAUAACUACUCGAAAGAGUGGCUAAUACCGCAUGAGAUCUACGGAUGAAAGCAGGGGAUCGCAAGACCUUGUGCUACUAGAGCGGCCGAUGGCAGAUUAGGUAGUUGGUGGGAUAAAAGCUUACCAAGCCGACGAUCUGUAGCUGGUCUGAGAGGACGAUCAGCCACACUGGGACGGAGACACGGCCCAGACUCCGACGGGAGGCAGCAGUGGGGAAUUUUGGACAAUGGGCGCAAGCCUGAUCCAGCAAUGCCGCGUGCAGGAUGAAGGCCUUCGGGUUGUAAACUGCUUUUGUACGGAACGAAAAGCCCUGGGUUAAUACCCUGGGGUCAUGACGGUACCGUAAGAAUAAGCACCGGCUAACUACGUGCCAGCCGCCGCAGUAA
rnacentral:rRNA from 1 species